rnacentral:tRNA from 1 species
UGCAUCGGCCGGGAAUCGAACCCGGUCCGCCCGCGUGGUAGGCGAGCAUUCUACCACUGAACCACCGAUGG